rnacentral:snRNA from 1 species
GGAUGUGAGGGCGAUCUGGCUGCGACAUCUGUCGCCUUAUUGAUCGCCAGGGUUGAUUCGGCUGAUCUGACUGGCUAGGCAAGUGUCCCCUUCUCUCCUCAACAAUCCAUGUGCAUCCCUCCUAAAGCUGCGCACUCAGUUGAAGAGGACGACCACUCCCAAUAGAGGAGGACUGUUCCUCAAGGGUAUAUGAGUAGCUGCACUCCCCUGCUAGAAACUCCAAAUAAGCUCUCAAGAAUAUAAGGAAGAGUCUGUAUCUUGUACAAUGAAAAACCACUAAGACAACAAUAUACAAUGUAUUAAUUAUUG